GGGCUGUCUGGGACAAGGGAACGUUUUCUACCUUGUGAUCCUUCUUGUGGGAGUAUUUGGUGAGCCCUGAUCUUUGGGACAGAGUGAAUGUGAAAUGAUGAAAUGAAGAGAAGCCAGUCCAAACUUCUGCUUACCAGCUGGAUUCCUAAAUUAUGAGACUGCUAAGCCUUUCUGACUCUGUGUACUUAUCUGUCACCCAGCUCAUCUGUCAUCAAAAAUUGGAACAUCUGCUCCUGCA